CCACUACCUCUGAACCCCAGUUGCUCUAUAACAAUCCUGUAUUUUCCUCUGAUAUUCUCAACUCUGUUCUGCUUCUCUUUUGUUUUGUCGUUCUUACUUCAUUGGUGUCCUUGUUGUUCUAACCGAUUGGAUUGGUGCUGCUGCUGCUAAGACGUAUGCCCUGCUCUCUGGUUUCUAUUUUUCCGAGUACCAGAGCUGCUGCUCCAUUCCCGUAUUUCUUUUGGUAAGAUAGGUUUUGUUCUACAAUCAAUAUUCUGAUUACUGCUCCUUUGAUGAUCUGUUCUGUUUUACCCUUGUGUUUGCUUCAGCCUCUAUUAAAUUCC
rnacentral:lncRNA from 1 species